AUACUUCUAGGAGGUGGCGUAUCCGUAUCCGAUAUGUAUCGGAUACGGAUACGCCCCGGAUACGCCUCGGAUAUGUUUCUAGCCGUAUCCUAAAAAAACGGAUACGUAUUUGCUUGGAUACGCGUAUCCGAUACUUUUGGGCCAGAUGGGAUACAGCCCAAAGCAGUAAUCAGCCCACCCAAAUGAUGUUUUGGUAGUAAGAGAUGAUACAAAAUGAUGAACUUGCUGCAAUAGAACUGUAGAACUAGAUGAGCAGCAACUGAAGAACCCCUUGUGGAAUCAGUUGUGCUUUUCGAGAAUGCUAGUUAUAGAGGGAGGUAAUGUUAUAUGGACAUGCAAGUAUUGCACAUCUGAGUAUAGGGGAAGUUACUCAAGAGUAAAAUCUCACUUGCUGAA